CUGGUUUGAAUCCAUAAUCUGUCGCAGGGAAGCAGCUCAAAGUACUAGGGGAGAGCCACCCCUAUCCUCUCCUCCCUGCUCCCCUGUCCCCCGCUCCAAUCUCACACUUAAGCCCUCUAGCUGGCAGCAAAAUGUCUUGGACCACCCUGGCAGGAGGAGGCAAUUUGAAAAGCAGGAUAUUCUGAAGAGAAGAAAAUUGCAGUUUGACUUCAUUUUCAGGAGCCCCAAAACUGCCAGCCGACUGAGUGAUUGUUCAGAUCUAGCAAGAUGGGCAUGUACAACAGAUAUUAUGGUAUUAGGCAAAAAAGGAGAUUUGUUAAAAAUAUAAGCAGAAUCCUGCCAAAUGUAAGCACUUUACUGUGGAUCCAUCUGUGGCCCACUGGAAGAAUCAGUCAUAGAUAGAUCCAGCAUCUCGAAGCGACAUCUGUGCCAACAGUCUUUCAGUGGGAGAUAUUUAUGUACAUGACAGAUUCACACAAAAAAUUAUGUAAUAUAAAAUUCACGAUGUGCUUAAUAAUGUCAACAUGUUAAGUAGAGAUUUUUUUUAAUCCUUUAGUAAAAUACUAG